CAGAUAGCACACAUACAUCUGUCCGACGUCGGCCUGAGGACGACACAUCGGCCCUGAAUUUAUAACGUCUGACAAGCGUCGGCCGCAUGGGCGGAUAUCUUUAAAUUUAAUACUCUUUUGUCCCAGCUCAUCAAACGUCUCUGUUACGUCGGCUUUGGGUCGGCCCAGUGCCGUAGAAUGUCUGCCCACAUACGGAAGUCGCCACAGAGGCGGAAUUUCAUCUCCGCGGUGUUUGUUUGGAACUGAGCUCGCAGGACACAGCAUCUCAUCGCAGUUGGUUUCAGUUGACGUUAUCUGCUCAUCUGGUUAUCGUGAACACUCGUUUUGGGUUAAAGUGGAAGUGCCCGGAGCUGCCAGCCGUGGUCCCACCUGACUUCCAGGGCCCUGGACGGAUGCUCAAGUGCUGCCAGGAGAAGCGGACUGGCCGUCAGAUAUUGUUUGUGGAAAUUUGAAAAUAAAGUUUCUCAAAUUGA